rnacentral:rRNA from 1 species
AGUGAACGCUGGCGGCAGGCCUAACACAUGCAAGUCGAACGGCAGCACAAGAGAGCUUGCUCUCUGGGUGGCGAGUGGCGGACGGAUGAGGAAUGCAUCGGAAUCUGCCCAUUUGUGGGGGAUAACCUCGGGAAACCGGGACUAAUACCGCAUACGACCUACGGGUGAAAGCAGGGGAUCUUCGGACCUUGCGCAGAUGGAUGAGCCGAUGCCGGAUUAGCUAGUUGGAGGGGUAAAGGCCCACCAAGGCGACGAUCCGUAGCUGGUCUGAGAGGAUGAUCAGCCACACUGGGACUGAGACACGGCCCAGACUCCUACGGGAGGCAGCAGUGGGGAAUAUUGGACAAUGGGCGCAAGCCUGAUCCAGCCAUGCCGCGUGUGUGAAGAAGGCCUUCGGGUUGUAAAGCACUUUUGUUGGGAAAGAAAAGCAGCCGGUUAAUACCCGGUUGUCAUGACGGUACCCAAAGAAUAAGCACCGGCUAACUUCGUG